UUUGGGAUACUGCGCCUCUGCCAAGAAGGUGCAGAUCUGCAAACAGAAAGUAACUUAUCUAGGCUAUACCCUAGAAGGGGGCCAGCGAUGGCUGACAGAGGCCAGAAAACAAGCGGUGGCCCUCACCCCCCCGCCACCGCAAACCCCAUGGCACAUGUGGGAAUUUUUAGGAACCGCAGGCUUCUGCAGACUCUGCAUCCCUGGGUUUGCGGAAAUGGCUGCCCCACUGUAUAACCUGACCAAACAGGAUGCUAAAUUUAAAUGGGGAGAAGAACAACAGGUAGCAAUUGACAAAAUCAAGCAGGCCCUCUUGUCCGCACCUGCCUUGGGACUCCCAGAUGUCACAAAAUCAUUUGACUUGGUUGUUGAUGAGCGAAAAGGCAUUGCCAAAGGAGUCCUAACCCAAAAGUUGGGCACAUGGAGGAGGCCCAUAGUUUAUUUAUCCAAGAAACUGGACUAUGUGGCAUCAGGAUGACCCCCUUGCCUUCGCAUGGUAGCAUCUAUAGUGUUCCUAGUCAAGGAUGCAAACAGGCUAACUCUGGGGAGCCCCUCACUGUCAUUACGCCCCAUUCUGUGGAAAACAUCGCUGUCAGCCACCCGAGAGCUGGCUGUCAAACACGUGGAUGGCUCACUACCAGACGCUGCUCCUGGCGCCCGACAAGAUAAGAUUCGGGCCAGCCACCACCUUGAACCCAGCUACACUCUUGCAGGACUCAGAGGACAGUAAGGAGGUGCCCCAUGAUUGUCAAUAAAUACUAGCCGAGGCUCAUGGGACUCGCCCAGACCUGACCGACCAACCUCUCCUGGAUGCGGAUGUUACAUGGUUCACGGAUGGGAGCAGUUUUCUCCAUAAAGGUUUUUGAUCAGUGUAUUCCCUGGGCAAAAGUCAAUGCAGGAAGACUAAAACUUCCAGAAGGGACCAGGACCAGAGGACACCGCCCCGGUAUCUAUUGGGAAGUGGACUUUACAGAAGUUAAACCUAGCCUGUACGGUAAGAAAUACUUGCUAGUUUUCAUAGAUACCUUCUCAGGAUGGGUUGAGGCCUUCCCUACCAAGAGAGACACUGCCCAGAUGGUAGUUAAGAAGAUUCUGGAAGAAAUCUUCCCUUAAGUUGGCCUACCCAAGGUAAUCGGGUCUGAUAAUGGGCCGGCUUUUGUCUCCCAGGUAAGUCAGUUGGUGGCCAAGCUACUGGGGUUUGAUUGGAAAUUACAUUGUGCUUAUAGACCCCAAAGCUCAGGUCAUGUAGAAAGAAUGAAGAGAACAAUCAAGGAGACCUUGACUAAAUUAGCAUUGUAGACUGGCACUAGAGACUGGGUUCAACUCAUGCCCCUGGCCCUCUACCAGGCCAGGAACACCCCUGGCCCCCAUGGCCUCACCCCAUAUGAGAUCCUCUAUGGAGGACCUCCCCCUGCUAUAACCUUCUUUGAUUCUGAUAUUCCUGCCUAUGCUACAACCCCAACCCUGCAGGCACACCUCCAAGCCUUACAGAUAGUCCAGGAGCAGAUUUGGAAGCCUUUGGCAGCAGCAUACUGGGAGAAGGGACCACCUUCCAGGCCCCAUACCCACCAGAUUGGUGACCAGGUCUACGUGAGGAGGCACCAGGCCAAAACUUGGAACCACGCUGGCAAGGACCAUACACUGUACUUCUGACCACCCUGACUGCUCUAAAAGUAGACGGCCUCACGGCCUGGGUACAUGCAUCACACAUAAAGGCUGCUCCCCAAGAAGACCCAAAGGUCCUGCCCACCACCACGGCAUAGAAACUCCAACGCACCCAAAAUCCCCUCAAAAGAAGACUCUUAAAGAGCCCUAACCUUGCUUGUAGUCGCUUUAAGUGUGCUCCCUGUAAGCCUCUGGGGCCACCCUGAUUCUAGCCCUCAUGUUCCCCAAGUACUUACCUGGCAGGUGAUGUCACAGACAGGGGAUAAGGUUUGGUCGACAUCUAAGGAGGCUCCCCCUGGCACAUGGUGGCCCCCUCUAUUUCCUAGGAUUUGCCCCCAUGUAGUGGAGUUAAGCGACUGGGACAUCCCUGAACUGACAUCUGAAAGGGUCCCGAAGGAACCAUUAGCUAAGUAUGGUAUCGGAUCCAACCUUGGCUACAAGUACCCAGGUACCCAAAAAGCCCUACAAAUAAUUCAAUUCUAUGUCUGCCCUAGGGACGGUAAAACAAGGUCAGAGGUGCAUAGAUGUGGGGGGCUUGGGGACUUCUUUUGCAAACAGUGGGGUUGUGAGACCACAGGAAAGGCUCCAUGGGACCCCUCGUCAAGCUGGGAGUUAAUUACUGUUGGCAGGAAAAACCAAACUUCAAACACCCUUAACAUAACUUUCACAAAUCGGGAAAACAAUUCAACGGAUGGGUCAGGGGACGAACCUGAGGACUAAGAUUCUGUAUGCCAGGGCAAGAUAAGGGACUUUCAUUCCAAAUUAGACUUAAGAUAACUAGUCCCCUGACAGCUCCCGUAGGACCUAACGAUGUGUUGUCAGAACAAGGGCCGCCUAAAGCCCCAAAACCCCAACUUCCCCCAGUCUCACCCGUCUCUACCCCCCUGCCUCCCUCAACGGGACAGAGACUCUUCAGCUUGGUACAAGGGGCUUUUUCUGCCCUCAACAACACCCAGCCAAAGCUUACUACCUCUUGUUGGCUAUGUCUAGCAUCUACGCCAUGCUAUUAUGAAGGGAUUGCCACGAUGGGAAACUCUACUAACAUCAGCACCAGCCCUGACUGCGACUGGGAGGCGGACCAUAGGCUAACACUCAUUCAAGUUUCUGGCCAGGGUCUAUGCCUAGGAACACCUCUACCCUCCAAGUCGGGCCUCUGUAACCGAAUAGUCCAGCAGCCAAAAGUCGAAAUUACCUGGUCCUAGAAUCGGGGCUCUCGAAAGAUUUCUGUGUCGCAGUCUGCUUGCUUCCCCGUGUAUAUUAUCAACCUCCUGAAGUUCUGGAGCAAGUUUAUUAGGGGAUCCCUUCAAGGUACAAGAGGGAGCCUAUAUCACUUACUAUAGCCCUCCUAUUGGGGGCAGCAAUGGCAGCCGGAACAGGCACAGGAGCUGCUGCACUGGUUCAAGGGUCCCAAGGAUACUCAGAAUUAAAACUAGCCAUUGAGGAAGACAUCAAAGCGGUUGAGGGAUCUAUUACUAAAUAAGAAUUGUCUGUUGCUUCCCUGGCUGAGGUUGCCUUACAAAACCAAAGAGGCCUCGACCUCCUUUUUCUUAAGGAAGGUGGACUCUAUGCUGCCCUAAGAGAAGAAUGCUGUUUCUAUGUUAAUCAUUCUGUGGCAAAACUUAGGGAAAGACUCAACCAACGUCGGAGAGAAUGGGAAUCUCAACAGGGAUGGUUUGAGAGCUGGUUCAAUGGGUCCCCCCCGGCUGACCACCCUGAUUUCUACCAUACUAGGCCCUCUGGUUAUUUUGUUACUAAUACUUACUUUUGGUCCCUGUAUUCUAAAUUGCCUUAUGAUGUUCAUUAAGGAAUGCCUAUCUAUCACCCAGGCCCUGCUUCUCACCCAACAGUACCAAGCUCUUAAACAACAAGAGGGACCAUACGUUUUAAGAUUAAAACUUCACAAAAAGAAAUAGGGGAAUGAAAAACCUCAAUACACCCCCCCCCCCCCCUUUUUGAGACUCAGAAGGUUGCCUCAGUGGAAAAUUCCCCAAGGUCCCUUUCCCUAGACAGGGAACAAGGUCUAAUUAAAAAUGUCUGAUUGGAAAGAACAUCUGGUCCAGAAUGCUGAUGCAGGACCCUGGCAGGCUAUAGAGAUAAGUUCGAUUUUGACCUUGUGGUUUCUCCAGGAAAGAUGAGUUAUGACCACGCUUCUUACAAUACCCCUAUUGCUUGCCCAGAUCUGCACCUGCAGUGGCUCCGCUUUUUGCAAUACCCCUAUUGCUUUGUUUGCCAAAAUGAUGUACAUAAAAAGAAAACUGUCCUAAAUCCCGGGGCUCUCAGCUUGCUAAAGCAGCUGGAGUGCCCACAGACGUCUGUGUGAACAAUAAACCUCUUGCAGUUUGCA